GACGAACGCUGGCGGCGUGCUUAACACAUGCAAGUCGAACGGAAAGGCCCUGCUUGCCUGGUGCUCGAGUGGCGAACGGGUGAGUAACACGUGGGUGAUCUGCCCCUUACUUUGUGAUAAGCCUUGGAAACUGGGUCUAAUACUGGAUAGGACCAUGCUGUAGGUGGUGUGGUGGGAAGAUUAGUUUCGGUAAGGGAUGAGCUCGCGGCCUAUCAGCUUGUUGGUGGGGUACUGGCCUACCAAGGCGUCGACGGGUAGCCGGCCUGAGAGGGUGGAAGGCAAGAUUGGGACUGAGAUACGGGCCAGACGCCUACGGGAGGGAGCAGUGGGGAAUAGUGCACAAUGGGCGCAAGGCGGAUGCAGAGAAGGCGCGUGGGGGAUGAAGGCCUUCGGGUUGUAAAGUAAUGUAAGAGAUGAAGAAGCCGUUGUGGUGACGGUAGUGGUAGAAGAAGCACCGGCUAACUACGUG
rnacentral:rRNA from 1 species